UAUUCUCAAGCUGAGUAGAAAGAAAAUAUAUUUUUGGCUUCUUCAAAAUAUAGUGACGGUGCCCUGAUGGGGGAUAGGUCACCUGGGAGGGGUGUUGUGGGGUGGGAGGUGGCGUCCCACUGGCUCUGGGUGAAGGCAGACCCGGGCGGAGAAGAACUUGCUGGUGUGGGUCGGUGAGAAACCGCUUCCUGGCCAUGAUCUUUGUUUCCUCAUGUGUCACAUCUGUACUCCGGGGUUGAUGUGGGGAAGAGGGGGUUAUGGAAGGCUUCUCUGUGCCAGGUUGUCCUUCUCUCUCCGCGGCAACCCGCAGAAGGGCCGCAUUACGGUUUUCACAACGAGGAAAGUGAGGCCAGAGGGGCUCGGCAGCCCUCCCGGGGUUGGCCUGGCUGCCCAGUGAGUGUUCCUCAUCGGACCCCGUGAGAGCUACACUGCCUGUGGGUGAAAUGUACCAGACACACCGCGCGGGCUCAGUGUGAUUCACGUCGUUGGUUCCUUGCCUCCAAGGGCACGUCACAGAUGGAAGGCCUGGCUGGUAGGCUUCACGGUAGCUCGAUGAAUCCUGGUAGCCACAUUUGUGGACGUGGAAAGACACCCAGAGUCUGUUGUGCUGUGAGAAAAGCUGGCUGGAGGACUGCAUGUUGACGACGAGCCUAUCUGUGCAGAGCUGGGCACGUGUGCAUGUCUGUGAGUAGACAGGUGCCUGGGAGCCGCACGGGCACACACGGAAACUAGCUCUCUGUGGCAGGGGGGAUUUUGCAUUUUUUAAACGUUUUUAAACGUUCCUGCAUGAUUUGACUCUUUUGCCAAUCAGUAGUGAGUCGAUACCCUUUUAUUAAAAGAAAGAAAGCCCCUCAAGGAUUUCCACCUUAAAACUCCAGGAGUGGACUUACGUGGAUCCUGAGAAACUUAACAGAAACCCAUGGGGGAGGGGAAGGAAAAAAAAAAAGGUUAGAGUGGGAGAGAACCAAAGCAUAAGAGACUCUUAAAAACUGAGAACAAACUGAGGGUUGAUGGGGGGUGGGAGGGAGGGGAGGGUAGGUGAUGGGCAUUGAAGAGGGCAUCUUUUGGGAUGCACAGUGUUUUGUAUGGAAACCAAUUUGAAAGUAAAUUUCAUAUAUUAAAAAAACAAACAAACAAAAAAAAACAAACAAAAAAAACGUCCAGGAGUGGAAAACAGAGAAGAUGUAGUAGACGCAUGCCUGCUUGCAGGGUCCUCAGCCAGGAAGGUCUCAGGGAAGUAAGUUGCCACUCAAGGCAAGGACAAAAGGCUAGGACUUUCUUCUUUUUUUCAGAAAGGGGGAUGUGAUCAAGCAUUUGGGCUGAGGGAAGGGUGCCCACGGCUGGGGAAAUGACACGGAUAGCAGAGGGGGGUGUGCUCCUUGGUGGGACAAGGGCUUAGGGAGGUGGGGGUGGGGUGGAAUCUUGGCACAGGUGGUGGGAUUAGCCCCGGACAGGGGGAGGAGGACCCCUUGCACGCAGCAGGAAGGGCAGUGUAAGUGGGCAAAGGUCGUAGGUGGGGUGGCAGGAAGGCGAGGGCGUCCUUUCCUGAUUGCCUCUAUUUUCUCUGCGAAGUAGGAGGUGAGGUCAUCCCGUGAGAGUGAGACGGUCAGCAUCCCAGGCUGGGGGCUCGCGGGGCCAAGGGAGGUUUGGAAGGUGCUGUGGGGGAUUGAAGAAGGGCUGGCUGGUGGGGACCAGUGGAGGGACGGUCAAUCUCUGUUGAGGACAGCUGCUGUUAGAGACCUUUCGUCUGGACCUCGUCCAAACGUCUUUCUCUAGUGGAAUUCCGGUGUCUGGAGCUGGCGAUGGAAAGGGCACAUUGUUAGGUUGACUACACAGCUUUGAGGCUUUAUGGGUUGAUGCGACUGGGGGACAAGUUGGGGAAGGGUUGGCAGUGACCGCAGGAGAGUGGGUUAAAUGAGGAAUCAUGACCCUUGGGCCACCUAGGAAGGGAGGGAACUCAGCGUGUAGGAGAGAGAAGUCUCAAAGAGAACAAAGGCUGGGCUCUGAAGGAGUAGAUGGACGGGAGGAGGGUGUCUGCUGUGGCAGGGGAUGAGGUGCUGGUGUGGGCGGUGGCAGCUUCCCGAGUGACCGUGGGGGAGGGAGUGGAAAUGGACGGGAGUCAAAGUUCUUGAAUGGAGGCCAGGGUGAAGGACGGGCCAUCCCCGUGUUGAGGUGGAACUUGGAACGGAGAGGGAAAAGUAGGAGCUAGGAGCCUCAGGGAAUGGAUGUCGGGGAGGGACUGGGUGGUAGCGAGAUCAAAGCCGUAAGAGGAGAUGGGGAGGCUCAGGAUGGCCAGAAAGAGGCGUUUUUGUUCAAGGUGGGAAGAGCAAGACAGAUGAAGUCUGGAAAGUGAACGUGUGGGAAAAAGACCAGGUCCUGGGUCCCGGAAUGACACCGGGGAGCCUGGAGGCCACGAAGCACGCUUCGCAGUGGGGGGAAAUCGAGACAAGAGGAGAGGACGUGCGAUGCUCAUGGCUAAUUAGCAGCAGAGACCAUGUACUCUAACACUAGGCGAGAGCUUCUUCCCUGUACUGAGAUCACAGAACCACGAGCCUUUAGUGCUGAAAGUCAUCCCGAGAAGGCAUCUGUAGGCCAAUCCUCAGGUUCUAAAGCCGAGCAAACAGCAAAUUGGGAAAGUUCAGUGAAGCUUAGCAGAGCUGGGACCAAACCCAGGUGUCCUGACCCACGGUUUGUGCCCGGUGCUGGCGUGGGAUGGGGGAGAGAGUGGGUCCGAAAGGGAACGCAGAAGGUAGAGCGUAUGGAUGUGUAAGGGGGUGGGUGCACGCACGCAUGCACGUGUGAAUUCACACACACAGGUCUGUAUUUGUAAGAAAGCUGGAACCAGGACUAUGUUUCUCUUUCCCAAGAAAAACACGUGGCUGCCUUUGGAAAAGGUGUCAGUCAAUGCUUUUCUUUGCCAGGAGUGGCGACGGGAGAAAUGAGUCACCCCAUCCCGUAUCUCCGGAUUCCGGAGGAUGCACACUGGGGAGGCAGCUCCGAGUAUGCUUUGUGACCUCACGGGGCACCAGAGCUGCCUGCGUGUGGCCAUACCUGCUCGAACCAGCAGGCUUGCAGGCCCGCACUUCCCCUGGUGUGCCAGGGGAACACCAGGACGCCCACGCUGGGCACACGUGCUUGGUCAGGCCUUGUGGUAGUCUGCUGGGCUGGCCCUAAUAACGUACCACAGACUGGCGGGGGGCGGGGGCGCUUACACAACAGAAGCUUAUUUUCUCCCAGUUCUGGAGGCUGCAAGUUUGAGACCAAGAUGGCAGGGUUGCCUUCUUCUGAGGCCUCUCUCCUUGGCUUGUAGAUGCCCAUCUCCCUGUGUCUUCACACGGUCUGUCCCCUGUGUGUGUCUGUGUCCUAAUCUCUCCUGAUAACGAGACCAGUCGUAUUGGGUCAGGGCUUACCCUAAUGACCUCAUUUUACCUUAAUCACCUCUUUAAAGACCCUAUCUCUGGGCGCCUGGGUUUAGCGGGUUGAGUCUCUGGCUCAGGUCAUGAUCUCACAGUUUGUGAAUUCAAGCCCCGCGCCGGGCUCUGUGCUGACAGCUGGGAGCCUGGAGGCUGCUUCGGGUUCUGUGCCUCCCUCUCUCUCUGCCCCUCCCCUGCUCGUGUUCUACCUCUGUCUCUCUCUCGAAAAUAAACAUUCAAAUUAAGCCUUAAAUAAAAGAAAAGAAAAGAAAAGAAAAGAAAAGAAAAGAAAAGAAAAGAAAAGACCCUAUCUCCGCAUACAGUCAUGUCCUGAGGUCCUCGAGGUUAGGACUUCAACAUUCAAUUUUGAGGGACAAAAUUUAACCCCAAAAAGGAUUAUUUUGGUGGCAAGGCACAGAACCCCACUCAAGUUAACCAAGUAAAAAUAGGGUUUAUUUGUAAGGAUGAGGCCACUCAAGGGGACUGUGAACUAGAAAGCAACUCUUUCCAUUUCAUUCCUUCCUGACGUGGUGGUUUUAAACUAUGGUCACAAGUUCUUUGACACCCCGCUGCCAUAGAGAGGUGAGUUCUAUAUCCCGCCUCUUGAAUCUGGGUGGGCUUAUGACUGUUUUGACCAAUACAGCAUAGUGGAAACGAUGCUAUGCCACUUCUAAGGCUCCAUCACGAAAGGCCAUGCAGCUUCCAGCUCGUUCACUGAAAUACUCACUCUUGGGGCCUUGACCUGCCUGUAAGAAAUCCAAUGACCCGGGGGCGACUGAGUGGCUCAGUGGGGUAAGCAUCCUACUCUUGAUUUCAGCCCACGUCUUGAGCCCCAUGUUGUCAGGCUCCAUGUGUUGACAACGAGAAGCCUGCUUGGGAUUCUCUCUCUCCUUCUUUCUCUGUCCCUCCUCUGCUCAUGCUUCUCUUCCUGUCUCUCAAGAUAAGUAAAUAAACUUUAAAAAGAAAAAAAAAAAAAAAGUAACGAAACCCAAUGAUCCCGAAAGGCCAUGCUGGAGACACCAUAGUUAGGCAUUCUGGUUUACAGAAUGAUAUAUGAUAUAUGAUAGGAUGGUUGUUGUGUUGAACCACUAAGUUUUGGAGUAGUUUGGUGUGCAGAUAGAUAAGCAGAGCACCGGAAGUCUGCUUUUUUCUGCUUUUCUUACCUAUGGGUUUUUCCUAUUUGCUCACAUUUCCUGCUCCCCUGUAAAUUACCUGCCCAAGUUUUUGCUCUAGUCCCUACAUCUCUGGGAUUAGAGUCUCCCUAUUAGUCAAAACGCUGGAGAACCUGAUCGGCCAAGACCAGGGACAGGGCCAUGUGUUAUGGGGAAUAGGUCAUGGCUCUUGGAGGUUGGGGCCCAGCAGACCCAGAACCUCAUCUACAGUGUCCACUUCCACGGCCCGUCUGAGUCUGGCCCAUGAGAAGUUGCUACCUCAGGCCUCUCUGAGAAUGUACUGCCCUUAGACCACAGCAGGCUCUUCCAACUCAGAAUCACGUGGUCAGCUUUAAGAUGGAAGAGGGUCCUGUGAUCAGCCAGUUUAUUCUCUGAUCUAAACGGGAAUUCCUUUGAUGACGUCAGAAAGAUGAAAUCUCCAUAGCCUCUUUUUGAUAUUCUCCGGGCUGGAAUUCAUCAGGCCAGCUUAUCAGGUAGCACAUUGCCAUCCUGCCUUCUGCUUGUUCAAAACGUUCCGCAGGUGGGGAUAAGACUGCUUUCCCCCAUCUCUUAUUCAUUAGGCUUUGUUUGUCCUGUCCUCAGCAUCAUGUGAGUAGAUGAUUCCCUCUUUUAGCAGAAAAUAUUUGAAAUACUUGAAUCCUUCAUUUUAAAGUUUAAUUCUUAUUUACUUAUUUACUUACUUACUUACUUAUUUAUUACUUUUGAUUUUAGAGAGAGAGAGACCAUGAGCGGGGGAGAGGGGGAGAGGGAGAGACAGAGAAUCUUAAGGAGGCUCCAUGCUCAGUGUGGAAUCUGAUGUGGGGCUUGAUCCCAUGAUCACCCUGGGAUCGUGACCUGAGCUGAAAUCAAGAGGCGGACGCUCAACCGACUGAGCCACCCAGGUGCCCCUAAGUUUUUUUGUUUUGUUUUUUUUUUUUUAGUUGAGUAUAGUCAAUACACAAUGUUACGUUAGUUUCAGAUGUAUGACAUAGAGGUUGGACAAGCCUAGAGUUAUGCUGUGCUCACCACAAGUGCAGCUUCCAUCUGUGAGUACACAACACUAUCAUGAUAGCAUUGACUCCAUUCCCUGUGCGGUGCCUUUCACCCCUAUGACCUAUUCAUUCCAUAGCUGGAAGCCUGUAUCUCCCACUCCCCUUCACCCAUUUUGCCCUUCCCUCCACCCCUUCCCUCUGGCAACCACCAGUUCGUUCUUUGUAAAGUUGUAUCUCUUCGUAGCAAACCUGGGACUCAGAAAUAAUUAUCAGAAUGUGUGACCAGAGAGGAGGAGGGGGAGAGAAGCUGAUUCGAUCUCACUAGGAAUCGAAUGAGUGCGGAUAGGGAUUGAGUUCACUUUCUGCAAAUUCUUUUUGAUCAUAUACCUGUUCUUUAGAAAAAUGUCUGGCUUCCCCACCCCCCCCCCGCCCUUUCUUUAAAAAAAAAUUUUUUUUUAAUGUUUAUUUAUUUUUGAGAGAGACAGAGUAUGAACGGGGCGAGGGAGGGGGGCGGGCAGAGAGAGAGGGAGACACAGAAUCCGAAGCAGGCUCCAGGCUCUCAACUGUCAGCACAGAGCCUGAUGCGGGGCUUGAACCCAUGAGCUGUGAGAUCAUGACCUGAGCCGAAGCCGAACGCUCAACCGACUGAGCCACCCAGGCGCCCCUAACGAUACUCUCCCCCCUUUCCUGUGUUAGCUUUGUAGGGUUGUCAUAACAUGACCACAAACUGGGUGGCUUAAAGCAACAGGAAUUUAUUCUGUCAUAGUCAUGGAGGUCUGAAGGGCGUUGGUAGGGUUGGUUCCUCCUGGAUGCUUUGAGGGAGGAUCCAUUCGGUGCCUCUCUCCUAGCUUCCGACAGUCCUGGCAAUGUUUGGUGUUCUUCAGUUUGCAGACGUGAGCAUCACCCAGUCUCCACCUCUGUCUUCGCUGGAUGUUCUUCCCCAUGUCCUCUGUGUCUAUCUAUGUCUAAGUUUUCCUCUUCUUCUAAGGAUAUCAGACAUCGGAUCAGGGCCCACCCUAAUCCAGUAUGACUUCAUCUUAACUAAUUAAAUGUGCAAAGACUCUAAUUACAAAUAAGGUUAUCUUCUGAGCUUCCAGGUGAACAUGAAUAUUUUGGGGACACCCUUCGACCCAGUAUAUUUUCUUUCCUUCCUUUCCUGUCUCCCUUCCAUCUUUCUUUCCUUUGUUCCUCCCUCUCUCAUCUUCUUUUUCUCCUUCCAUCCAUAUCUCCUUCCUCAAGCACAAUAUAAACACCCGGUGUACUCAGAGGGGGCGCCGUGCCUGGGGGAGCAAGUGUAUAAUUUGGUAGGGGGUCAGAAAACUUUCAGAAAGCAGGGACCAUGUUGCCGCUUGUAGAAGACCAGCAAAUCACUCAGUGCUAACAUCUUUAUUAGAUGUUUUAGCAAGUGAUACUCAAGAAGAAGGAGAAGGAAGAGGAGGCAGGUAAGAGGAAAAAUACAGGUCGUGAGCUGAAGUGACUCCAACACUUGAGUCUGGGGAGCUUAGGUGGAGGUGAGAGGCUGUCCUCUCUAGGAAUGAAGACGAGUCAAGCAACAGGGAUGCCUGCCUUUGUCUGAGAUUCUCUCACGGCCACGCUCCGUAUGAAAGCCGUGUUGAAUCCCUCUAGACUGAUGCUGGCCCGUAAUGGCCACGAGCCACAGCAAAAUGAGAAUGAGCUCCAAGUGCAAAAUACACACCAGACUUCAGAUACUUAAGUAUGAAAACAAAGAAUGUAAAAUAUCACAUGAAUAAUUUUUGCAUUGAUUACAUUCUAAAACAAUAUUUUGGAUAUAAGGGGGUUAUACGAAGUGUAUUAUGGAAAUCAAUUUCACCUGUUGGCUUUUUAUUUUUUAAAAAUGUGGCUACUAGAAAAUUUCAAGGGACAUAUGUGGCUCACUUAUCUUUCUACUGGGUAGUGCUGUUAUGGGUCCAGAGUAACAUGGUAUAAAGCUUAUCUGCAGGGUGUGAACAUUGGCUUCGCCAUUGACAAAGUGUAUGCUCCUGGGCAAGACCCUUUGCUUCUCUGGGCUUUGUUUUUCUCCCCUAUGGAAUGGGGAUGACAUGAUCAUGAUUCCUAGCCCACCUCCCUCCGGAGGUCCCUGUGAGCAUCAAAGGAGAGAAUGUAUGUGAGGAGGCUUCAUGACUGUAAAAGGCAGACAAAUGUGUUCUUAAAUUUUUUUUAAAUGUUUAUUCAUUUUCUGAGAGACAGAGAGAGACAGAGCAUGAGUGGGAAAGGGACAGAGAGAGGGAGACCCAGAAUCUGAAGACAGGCUCCAGGCUCUGAGUAGCCGUCAGCACAGAGCCCGACGUGGGGCUCGAACUCACGAACCGCGAGAUCAUGACCUGAGCCGAAGUCGGACGCUCAACCGACUGAGCCACCCGGACGCCCCAGACAAAUGUGUUCUGAUCAGCAUCAGCUGCCGUAGCAACAAUGACAUCUACAUCAACACCGCCACCAUCACCACCAUCACCGUGAGGAUUGCCUCCUCUUUCAGCCAAGAGACUCAGGCCGCCGGGGCAGGAGCAUAAUACCAGACCCAGGCCUGACUUGGUGCCCCUCCCCCUCCCCUCACUAAGCGAGAAUCACCGUAAGGUUGGGGGAUCUGCCUCCUGAAGGAGACUGGGUGCAGAUGGCCACAAGCUCAUGGUCUCUGGAAGACAGAAACUGGCUACCCGGGGCUAAUGCCUUCCUUCUCAAAAGCCGAGGGCUGGCCGACAGGGCCUCUGAGGAGGUUGAGGGGCACGUGGCUAAAGGCAUAUCCUCAGCCCUGAAAAAUCCGGAUCAAGGAGACAUGGUGUCACCUCAGCAUGGGCCACUAGACUGGAUGACUGGGCAC